rnacentral:rRNA from 1 species
GUGCCAGCCGCCGCGGUAAUACGUAGGGGGCUAGCGUUGUCCGGAUUUAUUGGGCGUAAAGCGCGUGUAGGCGGCCAGGCAGGUCUGGUGUGAAAACUCGAGGCUCAACCUCGAGAGGUCAUCGGAAACCGCUUGGCUAGAGUCCGGAAGAGGAGAGUGGAAUUCCCGGUGUAGCGGUGAAAUGCGCAGAUAUCGGGAAGAACACCUAUGGCGAAGGCAGCUCUCUGGGACGGUACUGACGCUGAGACGCGAAAGCGUGGGGAGCGAACAGGAUUAGAUACCCUGGUAGUCCACGCCGUAAACGAUGGGUGCUAGGUGUGGGUGGUGUCGACUCCAUCCGUGCCGAAGCUAACGCAUUAAGCACCCCGCCUGGGGAGUACGGCCGCAAGGCUAAA